rnacentral:rRNA from 1 species
UUGAUCCUGGCUCAGGAUGAAUGCUAGCGGGAGGCUUAAUACAUGCAAGUCGAGGGGUACAUGGCGGACCUAGUUCGCUGAUGACGACCGGCGCACGGGUGAGUAACGCGUACGCAACCUGCCCUUAACAGCGGGAUAGCCCUGGGAAACUGGGAUUAAUACCGCAUAGUUAUACACACUAUCGCCUGAUAGAGUAUAUAAAGCUUCGGCGGUUAAGGAUGGGCGUGCGUCUGAUUAGGUAGUUGGUGAGGUAACGGCUCACCAAGCCGACGAUCAGUAGGGGGCGUGAGAGCGUGAUCCCCCACACGGGUACUGAGACACGGACCCGACUCCUACGGGAGGCAGCAGUAAGGAAUAUUGGUCAAUGGGCGCGAGCCUGAACCAGCCAUCCCGCGUGCAGGAUGACGGCCCUAUGGGUUGUAAACUGCUUUUAUUAGAGAAGAAACGCCUUGAUUUAUCGGGGCCUGACGGUAUCUAAUGAAUAGGCACCGGCUAACUCCGUGCCAGCAGCCGCGGUAAUACGGAGGGUGCAAGCGUUAUCCGGAAUCACUGGGUUUACAGGGUGCGUAGGCGGUAUAGUAAGUCAGAGGUGAAAAGGCUGCAGCUCAACUGUGGACAUUGCCUUUGAUACUGUUAUACUUGAAUCAGGUUGAGGCAGGCGGAAUGCGGCAUGUAGCGGUGAAAUGCCAUAGAUAUGCCG